GGAGGAGGAGGUUGCUCAGCUCAGUUAAGGGAGAGAUUGUCCUUCGUGUCAGGCGACGGACGUUUGAGAAGUCCUGCAGGGGGACGAGGGAAACCAUCAGGGGAACGUGGAGAGUGUUUUCUGCAUGAUCGGCCACCGCUGACAAACGAGAGCCCGUCACAAAUGAACGCCACCACAACGCUACGUGUGGAAUGCAACCCGGCGAAGGGAGAAAAAAAAACAAGACAUCGACAUCCAAGGCAAUGAGCUUUGCCACAUGGCCAACAAUCUCUUGCAAUAAGUUGAAGAAGCCUUCUGCGUUGCUUGAGAGGAAAAGCCCCGGAUCCACACGCGUUCAUAAACUUCAGUCGCCCGGAGCCCACUGAGAUGAGAUCAGAUGUCCUGGAUCGCGGCGGGACGCUGUGUACGGUGUGUUCCACAGAGGACAUCCGACUGAACCUGUAAACAUCCGCCAGAAAUCAUCAGAAAGUACGACUGCUGGAUUUUAGCCACGGGGGAAUAAAUAUGCA